AAGAAAGAUGUGACUUCUAAAUUAAAUUUUAAUUAAAACUUCUCUUUACUCAACUUAUUUUUCUUUUACUAUAUAAGCCAACCCAGUUCUUUGUAGAGUAGACCUCCACUGAAGUCUUCCAGCCAUCUACAUUCUCAUAACCAACUGAACCAGCUGAUGAGGGCCUAUUAGAAAGAAGAGUCCAAUGGAUUCAUAUCAUAGGGAACACAAGCCCUAGCCCAAAGAUGUUCACCUUGAAGAAAUCCCUGUUGCUCCUUUUCUUCCUUGGGACCAUAAACUUAUCUCUCUGUGAGGAAGAGAGAGAUGCCGAUGAAGAAGAGAGAAGAGAUGAUCCCGAAAAAAGGCAUGUUAAAGUGGAAAAACGAUUUAUUACACUUUUGCUUCGCAAAUUUAUUUGUUCAAUAACCAAAAAAUGUUAAACUUUGGAAACCUGAAUUGGAAAUCAUCUGAUGUGGAAUAUCAUUUAGCUAAAUGCACAUCAGAUGUCUUAUAAAAAAAUAAACAUGUUGCAUAUGCUGA